UACGAAGGGGGCUAGCGUUGCUCGGAAUUACUGGGCGUAAAGGGCGCGUAGGCGGACAGUUUAGUCAGAGGUGAAAGCCCAGGGCUCAACCUUGGAAUAGCCUUUGAUACUGGCUGUCUUGAGUGCGGGAGAGGUGUGUGGAACUCCGAGUGUAGAGGUGAAAUUCGUAGAUAUUCGGAAGAACACCAGUGGCGAAGGCGACACACUGGCCCGUUACUGACGCUGAGGCGCGAAAGCGUGGGGAGCAAACAGGAUUAGAUACCCCUGUAGUCC
rnacentral:rRNA from 1 species